rnacentral:lncRNA from 1 species
GGGCUCUUAACUUUUCAUGACUCAGUUGUUUCUGUCGCUCAUUUGCUGCUCUGUGCUGGGCAAGGCAGGGCACAGGCAGGUGAGUCCUUGAGGGCCUGAGUCUCUAGACUGUUCCAGUGUUUCCUCAUCUGUAGUGCAGCAUCCUCAUGGCUAUUGUGGAAGCUGUGACGGCACUGAGAGCCGUGCAGAAGCCCUGGCUGUCUUGGCCUCUGGGGUCCUUACUGGGUCACCUUAUUCUGUUUGCCUUAAGGUCCUGGUUCCUGCUGACACUCCAUGUCAAGCUAUCACGGCCCUGGGCCUCACCAGUCCACUUGACAUGCCUGGAACUUCAAAGACCAGGAUCCGAGUCCCAGUCUGCUUUCAACCAGGUGAUUAUGAAG